UGGGAAGCCGCCCCGCCCGGCCGUCGCCCUCCUGCCCGGCGCUGGCUCUGCUCGGUGCUUCGCGCCGUGGAUUGGCGGCUGGCGGUGUAGGCCGAACCGGGGCCGAGGGGCUUUUCCGCAGAGCCUCCUGGGGCUCGGUGCGGGGCGCUCAGCUCGACCCCAGCCCGGGGAAGAUUGAGAAGUGCGGAGUUCCCUUCCCCAGACGCUUGCGCGUGGUGCGGGGGAACCGUCGACCUUCAAAACGCGGAGGCGAACUUUAUAUAAGUAGAGAGGUGACUUGGGCCAAGUUGGAAGAUUGCGGCCCGGGAGCACGGCUUCAAGUUGCCCUGAACAUAGGAUUAGCAACAGUUACAAGUGAGGCCAGAGAAGAGACAAGACAGAUGCCAGUCCAGCAGGUGGUCAUGUCCAGAGGGUGCAGCCUCAGGACACGGUCUGGGAACAAAGACUGCUGGAGAGAUGGAAGCUGGCAACGGGUCUCAGCUGUGAAGUCCCUGGGGUAGGGGAGAAGUGGUGGAAGAAAGCAGAGGACACAGUUGAAGACACUGGAUAUUCUACCAAGGCUUUGCCUGGAGUGGUGUACUUUCAGAUAUGACAGACUGCUUUGAGGAAUUGAGGUUGGCUUUAUAGAGCCAAUAAAAAGCUACUUGGAAAGACUGGCCAUGUACCUUGUCUACACAGUUCCCUUAUAAGGUUCCUGACCUUGAGAAUGAAGGGAACUUUUGAGCUAUUGACAGCUUUUAACACCCUGUGACCUGAAGAUGAGACAACCUGUACUUCAGAAGAAAACAGCAGCAACCUCUUUAUCUGUGUUCCUGUCAUCUGUUGUUCCAAAACACCCCUUGAACUCAUACUAUUAUGUUUCAGCAGGCGCUGCCUCUAAGCCCCCAGAGAGUGCUGCUGGGAGAAAAUUGAUCUCUUCCACUCCAAUGCUGCAUUCAUUGCCCCAAAACAAUGACCCCCUUCUCAGCAGGAAGUAGCCAGAAAGAUGAUGAUGCCCUAUCUCGCUACAGUUCUCAUGAUAAGUAAUAUGCAAGCAUGAUAGAAACCAUGAGCAAAUUGACAGUGAGGAUUGUGGCAGACUGGGUCUCACUAACGCAGGCCUCCAUAACAACUGUUCCGGUACUGACUGAGUGGGUAAGUUACAUAUUAAAAGCUGAAAGAGCCAGCACCCUUAUACAAAGGCUGGAAUGUAAUAAAAGCCCACCAAGAGUUUUGCCCAGGCCUUUCCUGGGCUUUAAAACAUGAUGAGAUAGUAAAGGAAUUAUUAACAGGGCUUGUUUAGGAUUAAACAAGUUUUACUGCAGGUCUGAAGAAACUCCCCAGGCCUCCACAAACAAGCUUUAUUGGGGACUAAAGGAACUCCCUAAACCUCCGUGAUUUAGCAAGAGGCAAGAUACGGGUAAUUGCCCCUGUCAUCUAGACCCACCUAGAUUAAGUAAACUUACUGAGGCUCCAGAGGAAGGUCUUCAGGACUCAGAUCUCAGUUAUAGUUAGAAGAAGUCAAUUGCUUAUGUCUUUAGAUGAAUGCACACCUACCUGUAGACGUACAGCUUAGAAGGUAUACAAGUUCUGGAAAACAUGGUAAUUUUGAGUUAGUCUGGUGAUAAUUUCCAGGCCUUCUCUCUAUAACCAGUUACCGAAAUAAAAAGUCCCCUUUC